rnacentral:SRP_RNA from 1 species
GCCGAGAGCAGCGUCACGUGCCUGUAGUCCCAGCUACUCUGGAGGCUGAGGUGGAAGGAUCACUUGAGCACAGGAGUUCUGGGCUGUAGUGCACUAUGCCAAUCAGGUGUCCUCAUUAAGUUCAGCAUCAAUAUGGUGACCUCCCGGGAACAGGGGACCACCAGGUUGCCUAAGGAGGGGUGAACCGGCCCAGGUCAGAAACGGAGCAGGUCAAAACUCCCAUGCUGAUCAGUAGUGGGACUGUGCCUGUGAAUAGUCACUGCACUCCAGCCUGGGCAACAUAAGGAAACUUCGUCUCU